AAUCCAUAGGUUAAUGAGGCGAACCGGGGGAACUGAAACAUCUAAGUACCCCGAGGAAAAGAAAUCAACCGAGAUUCCCCCAGUAGCGGCGAGCGAACGGGGAGGAGCCCAGAGCCUGAAUCAGCAUGUGUGUUAGUGGAAGCGUCUGGAAAGGCGCGCGAUACAGGGUGACAGCCCCGUACACAAAAGCGCAUGUGCUGUGAGCUCGAUGAGUAGGGCGGGACACGUGGUAUCCUGUCUGAAUAUGGGGGGACCAUCCUCCAAGGCUAAAUACUCCUGACUGACCGAUAGUGAACCAGUACCGUGAGGGAAAGGCGAAAAGAACCCCGGCGAGGGGAGUGAAAAAGAACCUGAAACCGUGUACGUACAAGCAGUGGGAGCACCCU
rnacentral:rRNA from 1 species